AGUGAACGCUGGCGGUAUGCCUAACACAUGCAAGUCGAACGGCAGCACAGUAAGAUCUUGCUCUUACGGGUGGCGAGUGGCGGACGGGUGAGGAAUACAUCGGAAUCUACUUUUUCUGGGGGGAUAACGUAGGGAAACUUACGCUAAUACCGCAUACGACCUACGGGUGAAAGCAGGGGAUCUUCGGACUUUGCGCGAUUGAAUGAGCCGAUGUCGGAUUAGCUAGUUGGCGGGGUAAGGGCCCACCAAGGCGACGAUCCGUAGCGGGUCUGAGAGGAUGAUCAGCCACACUGGAACUGAGACACGGUCCAGACUCCUACGGGAGGCAGCAGUGGGGAAUAUUGGACAAUGGGCGAAAGCCUGAUCCAGCAAUACCGCGUGGGUGAUGAAGGCCUUCGGGUUGUAAAGCCCUUUUGUUGGGAAAGAAAAGCAGCAGGUUAAUACCCCGCUGUUCUGACGGUACCCAAAGAAUAAGCACCGGCUAACUUCGUG
rnacentral:rRNA from 1 species